rnacentral:rRNA from 1 species
UACGAAGGGGGAGCUAGCGUUGCUCGGAAUCACUGGGCGUAAAGCGCACGUAGGCGGCUUGUUAAGUCAGGGGUGAAAUCCUGGAGCUCAACUCCAGAACUGCCUUUGAUACUGGCGAGCUUGAGUUCGGGAGAGGUGAGUGGAACUGCGAGUGUAGAGGUGAAAUUCGUAGAUAUUCGCAAGAACACCAGUGGCGAAGGCGGCUCACUGGCCCGAUACUGACGCUGAGGUGCGAAAGCGGUGGGGAGCAAACAGG